rnacentral:RNase_P_RNA from 1 species
AGCCGGAUAAUCGCGCCUUUAUUGGGUGAGGAAAGUCCGUGCAUCCAAGGACAGACCGCCGGAGAAACUCCGGGCAGCGUGAGCUGGCGGAUCGGACCACAGAAAAGGGGGGUAAAUGUUAUCUCGCUUAUUAGACUUAUUACAAGUAAAAUGUAGAAGAUAUCUUCCUCCCAAAAGACUGCCGAUGGAUUAAUUUUACAGGCGAUGGUGCAAAGGUGAGGUAAGAGCUCACCGGCAAUGCUGAGAAGUAUUGGCCAGGCAACCCCCGGUCGGAUGCAAGAUUGAAUCAAGCGUUUGAGGUGUCCGCCGAGCUUGAAAAAUCGCUAGAGACUAGGAGUAAUCCUAGUACCAGAUAGAUGAUUAUCGGGAUUUUAUCCCUGCCUUACGGCAAGAAACAGAACACGGCUUAUGAGCUGCUUUU